rnacentral:lncRNA from 1 species
GCGACUCCCCCGGGGCGGGGGUGGCGUGUGGUCUCUAGACAACUGAGGGAAAGUAGACAGACCGUGCUCACCGAUUUAAAAGAACAGCCCUGAAAUGACCCCCGUUACACCCUGUUCUCUUUAGACAAGUUACUUCCACCUGGAGCGGUUUCUGGGCCCGGGUAUGGGGAUUUCUUCACCCGGCCCCCUAGGCUUUCACCUCGGUGGAAUUUCCCGCGCCCCCGCUGGGAUGAUUUAGGGACUGUUGGCUAGAACUGCCCUUGCCUACCGCCCUACUGCGGGCGCUCCCCUGUCUGGGGGGUGCUUGGCUGGGUGUGGAGAAGGAUCAAUCACAGCUGACUCCUCAGAGGUGACAGCCCCUGCCCCCUUAAAAACAAGAAAAGACCUAGCAGUGUGAAGCCAAACUGCACCCCCAGCCCCGGUGACAUGAGGAAACCGUGAGGCGCUCAGCCUGAGGUUCAUCGUUCAUCUCCUUCCUGCUUGGAAUCAGAAUGUCCUCACUGCUGAGUUUCUCCGUUUUAUGGGAUUACAUUAGUGGACAAAGGAGUGAAGCAAAGCAGCACUGAGCUCCUCCAAGUAAAGAAAGAAUUGUUUUCUGUACAACCUGGAGCUGAAUCAUAGAAGGAGAAGACAGCUUGAAAGAUAAGAGGCCGUAAGGCAGACCACAGAGGAUGGGGAGGAUUUCCCCAGCACCCCAGCCCCCAUAGUCAGCUCUGGUUCAGCGAUUUCAGCAACUCUUUCAUGACCCAUCUGAUUUUGUUUUAUCCCAGCCCUGCAGAGAAAGGACUCUGCAGGUCAGGACUUGCUUCUUCAAC